rnacentral:rRNA from 1 species
UGCGGAGGGUGCAAGCGUUGUUCGGAAUCACUGGGCGUAAAGGGCGCGUAGGCGGUUUGAUAAGUCAGAUGUGAAAGCCCACGGCUUAACUGUGGAAGUGCAUUUGAAACUGUCAGACUUGAGUAUCAGAGGGGAAAGUGGAAUUCCCGGUGUAGAGGUGAAAUUCGUAGAUAUCGGGAGGAAUACCGGUGGCGAAGGCGACUUUCUGGCUGAAUACUGACGCUGAGGCGCGAAAUCGUGGGGAGCAAACAGG